CCUACGGGUGGCAGCAGUGAGGAAUAUUGGUCAAUGGACGCAAGUCUGAACCAGCCAUGCCGCGUGCAGGAUGACGGCUCUAUGAGCUGUAAACUGCUUUUGUACGAGGGUAAACCCCGAUACGUGUAUCGGGUUGAAAGUAUCGUACGAAUAAGGAUCGGCUAACUCCGUGCCAGCAGCCGCGGUAAUACGGAGGAUCCGAGCGUUAUCCGGAUUUAUUGGGUUUAAAGGGUGCGUAGGCGGUUUGAUAAGUUAGAGGUGAAAUGUCGGGGCUCAACCCCGGAAUUGCCUCAAAUACUGGUGAACUUGAGUACAGUAGCGGUAGGCGGAACGUAAGGUGUAGCGGUGAAAUGCUUAGAGAU
rnacentral:rRNA from 1 species